rnacentral:lncRNA from 1 species
CAGAAUGACAAGUCCUUGUGUCACUGUGUACGGAUAAGACAGUCAAAUUACUUAGUCAUGUUGUCAAUAUAACAGUGUACUCUGGAGGGAUUGAUAUAGAGAAGGAAAAAGAAAUAUGGGCACAAAGAUGAAAAUAAAAAGAUAAGUCCACUGUGUAACUCUUGUGUCUGUCUAUACAGUGUAUGCUUUCCAACUGAAGAGUCAUGAGAUGAACCUUUGAGCUAUUUCAGAGAAAUGGUUUAUCAUUGGCUUAUCUACAUUCUCUUCAUUAGUCAAGAUUCACUUGCACAAUUCAUGCCAAAUUUACAAAAAGUCUAAUAAUAAUGUGUAAAAAAAAAUGUGUUUGGCAGUUUAUGACAACUAGAUGAACCUUUUUGCAUUCAGUGACUUAUACGAUGAACUAACGACUAGAUGUUUUGAGGGGUAAGACUAUUGCACAGAAAACUAUAUAAUACAUUUUGAGUAACAUGACAUUAGCAACUGAUAAUGUAGGAAACUGCAGAUAAAUGUGCAUAAUCAACUGCAUGAAUGUACAAAAGCAAUCGCAACUUGUUCAAAAGAAUGAGAAACUGGUUUUAUGAUGUGUAUAAAUAACUAGAUGAUGUGGAGGUUGUACAAGUAGUUUUGAGAAUUUCAUUCCUGAUUUGAGAAAUGCACCAAAGUGACUGAGAAAAACUGUAAAUGCAGGGCACACACAUGGAGUGUAUCACCUUGAAUGUUUUGUUCAGUAUUUUGGACUAGAUGUCGUUCUCUCAUUGUGAAUAGGCAUGUGUCUGUGUGUAUGUUUCAGAGCAGCACACAGGCGUGUGUUUUGCGUCGGUUGUGAAUGGACGCUGUGCUCAGGAAAUCAGCGGACGCUUCAGUAAAGUCCAGUGCUGCUGUGAGCGUGGACGCUGCUGGAGUCAGAGCACAGCUCAUGAAAUGUGUCCUAUGCCACGAUCAGACGAAUACUACAGGAUCUGUCUGGUGGGCUCUGCCCUGAGUGGCUUCAGUGAAGAGCAUCCUGACAUGCCCUCUCAGCUUCCCAGCGGCUUCAGACCUGCCUCUAAUGACCAGAUACUUCACACACUUAAUAACAAUGGACUCAUCACACCUCAGAUUCAUCACAUUCCCCAAAUCCCUCAGAUCUCAGGGAAUGGUCAUGGAUUUAAACCACAGCGUCCUGUUGUCGUUGGUGUGACUGAGACUGUCAGCAGGUGUGGUCCGUGUCUGAAUGGACGCUGUGUACCGGUGGGCUCUGACUACCGUACAGAGAGGACAGCAGAGGAGAGUGUUCAGAUGUAG